rnacentral:misc_RNA from 1 species
CACUAUUUUCUCUCACUAAAAGAUUCCUAGAAAAACAUGGGACCUGAGGUAAAUGUACUAACACGACAAAAAAUAAUGAGGUUACCAAACCCUAAAGAUCUCCAAGCUUGCAGCCCAGCUGUUCUGCUUGGUAUGCAAUGUGACCUUCAAGAAUAUUACUGGCUUGGGAUCAUUCAACUCCAUCAGCGAGUAACUUCUUUUCCUCUACAAUUCUAACAAGAACUAAUUGAAAAG